rnacentral:rRNA from 1 species
GACGAACGCUGGCGGCGUGCUUAACACAUGCAAGUCGAACGGAAAGGCCCUGCUUUUGUGGGGUGCUCGCGUGGCUAACGUGUGAGUAACACGUGAGUAACCUUCCCUUUACUUUGUGAUAACUUCAGGAAACUGGUGCUAAUACCGGCUAGGAGCUCCUGCUGCAUGGUGGGUUUUGGACCGUUUCGGCGGUUGGGGAUGGACUCGCGGCUUAUCAGCUUGUUGGUGGGGUAGUGGCUUACCAAGGCUUUGACGGGUAGCCGGCCUGAGAGGGUGACCGGCCACAGUGGGACUGAGAUACGGCCCAGACUCCUACGGGAGGCAGCAGUGGGGAAUAUUGCACAAUGGGCGGAAGCCUGAUGCAGCAACGCCGCGUGCGGGAUGAAGGCCUUCGGGUUGUAAACCGCUUUCGCCUGUGACGAAGCGUGAGUGACGGUAAUGGGUAAAGAAGCACCGGCUAACUACGUG